UACGGGGGGGGCAAGCGUUGUUCGGAAUUACUGGGCGUAAAGGGCUCGUAGGCGGCCAACUAAGUCAGACGUGAAAUCCCUCGGCUUAACCGGGGAACUGCGUCUGAUACUGGAUGGCUUGAGUUCGGGAGAGGGAUGCGGAAUUCCAGGUGUAGCGGUGAAAUGCGUAGAUAUCUGGAGGAACACCGGUGGCGAAGGCGGCAUCCUGGACCGACACUGACGCUGAGGAGCGAAAGCCAGGGGAGCGAACGGG
rnacentral:rRNA from 1 species